rnacentral:rRNA from 1 species
AUUGAACGCUGGCGGCAGGCCUAACACAUGCAAGUCGAGCGAGCGGCGGACGGGUGAGUAAUGUCUGGGAAACUGCCUGAUGGAGGGGGAUAACUACUGGAAACGGUAGCUAAUACCGCAUACCAUCAGAUGUGCCCAGAUGGGAUUAGCUAGUAGGUGGGGUAACGGCUCACCUAGGCGACGAUCCCUAGCUGGUCUGAGAGGAUGACCAGUCAGCCGGGAACAGAGACACGGUCCAGACUCUUUCGGGUGGCAGCAGGGGUGAAUAUUGCACAAUGGGCGCAAGCCGGAUGCAGCCAUGCCGCGUGUGUGAAGAAGGCCUUCGGGUUGUAAAGCACUUUCAGCGGGGAGUCGUUACCCGCAGAAGAAGCACCGGCUAACUCCGUGCCAGCAGCCGCGGUAAUUC